rnacentral:misc_RNA from 1 species
UCUCCGUUGGUGAACCAGCGGAGGGAUCAUUACCGAGUUUACAAACUCCCAAACCCUUUGUGAACCUUACCGUAUCGUUGCUUCGGCGGGUCGGGCUGAUGCUUGGGAUGGCUACUCUGUAGCUACCCUGCAGAGGCCGCCGCCGGUGGGAAUUUAAACUAUUGCCAUGUAUUGUCAUCUGAGAGUCUUAUGAGAAUAAGUCAAAACCUUUAACAACGGAUCUCUUGGUUCUGGCAUCGAUGAAGAACGCAGC